rnacentral:rRNA from 1 species
GACGAACGCUGGCGGCGUGCUUAACACAUGCAAGUCGAACGGAAAGGCCCUGCUUCUGUGGGGUGCUCGAGUGGCGAACGGGUGAGUAACAAGCGAGUAACCUGCCCUUGACUUUGGGAUAACUUCAGGAAACUGGGGCUAAUACCGGAUAGGAGCUCCCGCUGCACGGCGGGGGUUGGAAAGUUUCGGCGGCUGGGGUUGGUCGCGGGGCUUAUGAGCUUGUUGGUGGGGUAGUGGCUUACCAAGGCUUUGACGGGUAGCCGGCCUGGGAGGGUGACCGGCCACAUUGGGCCUGAGGUAGGACCCGGACUGAUACGGGAGGCAGCGGUGAAGGAUUGUGCACGAUAGGCGGAGGCAGGAAGCAGCACCGCCGCGUGCGGGAUGACUGCCUUCGGGUUGGAAACCGCUUUCGCCUAAGACGAAGAGUGAGUGACGGUAAUGGGUAAAGAAGCAACGGCUAGCUACGUG